rnacentral:rRNA from 1 species
AUGUCGUCGCCGCCCGCCGCGCCGGGCCCGGCCUCGCCGCCGGGAAACCGCACAGCGCCGCCCCCGGCCUCCGCGCCGCCCGCUACCAACUCGACGCCCCCUUCGCCGCCUGCGCCACCGCCCUCUUCUCCACUCCCACCGCCGUCGACGCCCGCCGCGACGCCCCCGUCGCCGGGUGCCACCCCCGCGACGCCCUCCCUCCCGCCUCCCACGGCGCCCGGGGUGCCCGCCGCGCCGUCUCCCCCGUCGACCACGCCUUCUCCGCCGACCGAUCGUCCGACGCCGUCCGCCCAGGCCUCGCCGCCGCCGCCGACGAGCUCAGCGCUCAACACGGCCACGGUGGCGGGGAUCGCGGUGGGCGGGCUGAUCGCGCUGCUGCUCGCCAGCCUGCUCUGCUUCUGCAUGUUCAAGAAGAAGAGGCGGCACCACCCGCACCACCCUCCGCCUCCCCCGCCGCCCCACCACCUGCACUACUACGGGCACCCGCCGCCGCCGCCGCCCCCGCCGCCGUUCAAAGGGGAUCAAUAUGGGUGGCAGCAUAAUGCCCCUCCGCCACCCCCUGAUCAUGUUGUGAAGAUGAAUUCACAUCCUUCCACUAAACAGCCGCCGCCUCCGGUCAAUGUAAACAGCAGUGGUUCGGGUUCACAUUUCUCAGGCGGCGGUGAGAAUCGACCCCUGCAAUCACCGUUUGGCAACGCCCUCAGCUUCUCGAAAUGCACUUUUACUUAUGAAGAGUUGGCUGUGGCGACCAAUGAAUUCGCCGAUGCUAAUCUUCUCGGGCAAGGUGGCUUUGGAUUUGUUCACAAAGGAGUGCUGCCAGAUGGCACAGAAGUUGCCGUUAAGCAAUUGAGAGAUGGAAGUGGGCAGGGAGAGCGUGAGUUCCAGGCAGAGGUUGAGAUUAUCAGCCGAGUACAUCAUAAACAUCUCGUGACGUUGGUUGGUUAUUGCAUUUCUGAAGACAAGAGGUUGCUUGUCUAUGAGUUUGUUCCCAAUAACACAUUAGAAUUCCAUUUACAUGGAAGGCGUGGACCAACUAUGGACUGGCCUUCAAGACUACGUAUUGCUUUGGGUUCUGCGAAGGGAUUGGCCUAUCUUCACGAAGACUGCCAUCCAAAGAUCAUUCAUCGUGACAUAAAGGCAUCAAAUAUUCUUCUGGAUUACAGAUGUGAAGCUAAGGUGGCAGAUUUUGGACUUGCAAAGUUAACCUCUGAUAAUAACACCCAUGUUUCCACCAGAGUAAUGGGCACAUUUGGGUACCUUGCACCAGAGUAUGCUUCUUCUGGCAAGCUCACUGAGAAAUCAGAUGUCUUUUCUUUUGGAGUAAUGCUUCUUGAAUUAAUAACUGGACGCCGGCCUGUAAGUUCAAAGCAAGCGCAUAUGGAUGACAGCUUGGUUGACUGGGCAAGGCCUUUGAUGACACAAGCACUCGAGGAUGGUAAUCACGAUGCUUUAGUGGAUCCCCACAUGGGAAUCGAUUUCAAUGAUAACGAGAUGGCAAGGAUGAUCGCCUGCGCAGCCGCAUGUGUACGCCAUUCUGCACGGCGACGCCCACGCAUGAGCCAGGUUGUUCGGGCCCUGGAAGGCGACGUGUCGCUGGAUGAUCUGCACGAAGGCGUCCGGCCUGGCCACAGCCGGUUCAUGGGAUCGCACGCCAGCUCCGAGUAUGACACCAGCCAGUACAACGAGGACCUGAAGAAGUUCAGGAAGAUGGCGCUCGGCACCAGCAGCUUCCAGAGCAGCCAGCUAACACCGUCCAGCGGCGAGCACGAGCAGGAGCACCAGAACCCGUCCGUCCCGAGCAGCGACGGCCAUCAGCAGACGCAGGAGGUGGAGUUGGGGACUAGUACGAAGCGAGACGACGGCGACGUCGAGAGCCAGGCUUCCAUGAGAUGA